GGUCUUCCCCCAUCGGUCUGCUCCUCCCACUCCCACGACCAGCGCCGCCGCUUGCCCCCGUGUCCGCCGUCCAGUUCUGAUCCGCCGACUCCCUCCCCGUCGAGCGCCACCAACAUCGCCAUUGAGCACCGACUCCACGCCUCCAGCACAGCCUCCCUCCCCAUCUAGCGCGGCCCCCAUCGCCGGCGACUUCCAGAUCCGCCUCCCUGGCCGGCGAACUUCCAGAUCCGCGUCCCUGGCCGGCGAACUUCCAGAUCCACCUCCGUCGCCGUGUGGAGGUGGCUCCCUCCCCGACCAGUGAGUGCCCGUCUUCUCCUCCCCCCCUCCCCAUCUAUUGCUAUUCCAAAUAAUUUACAUGUGCUGCAGCAAUAUGUUCAUUGUUUAGUACACUCUUCUUGAGAUUAAAACAAUGAUGUUUUGUUGUUCUUCUGAAAGGAUUGAGUGCAACAGCCAUGGGGUAUUAUAGUCGCCAUCUGUCUAGGUAGUGUGCUGCGCAAUUUUAAGUUUGUGCAUACAUUAAAUCGGGUUGUUCCUCAAUUGGUCUCAUUGAUGAGUUGUGAUACAUAUCUGUAUGCGUAGCUGUAGGUUAUGCUCCCUGUUCAGGAAGGUGCAGUUUACGUAUGCAUGCUUUAUUGUUUUCUCUUCAUUGAAGGUCUUACAAAAUCAGGAAGUUGUAGCGCUACAAAGGCCAAGUUUGAGAAGUGACAUUGCCACACCACAACCCUCUCGAUCAAGAAGUCCAAU
rnacentral:lncRNA from 1 species